UCUCCGUUGGUGAACCAGCGGAGGGGUCAUUACAGAGUUGCAAAACUCCCAAACCAUUGUGAACGUUACCUAUCCCGUUGCUUCGGCGGGCGGCCCGGGCCCCGCGCCCGGCGCCCCCCGGCCCCCCGUGGGCGCCCGCCGGAGGUAAACCAAACCCUUGAAUUGCAUGGCCUCUCUGAGUCUUCUGUACUGAAUAAGUCAAAACUUUCAACAACGGAUCUCUUGGUUCUGGAAUCGAUGAAGAACGCAGC
rnacentral:misc_RNA from 1 species